ACGGCAACAAUGUCAAGAAUGUUCGAGCGUUGAUGAGUUACGAUGUAAGAGUUUAAUAAAAAAAAAUCAGCUAUGGUAGCAAUGACAAUGAAAGGGGAAGGCUGAUUUUUAACAAACCUAUAGUGAAGACUAUUCGGAAGGUGUUGAUUAAGUUGAAUGGUAUCAGGUGAAAAAAAAAGGUAAGAA